ensembl:antisense Gm13381 predicted gene 13381
CCAGGCUCCAGGAGGGUGACACUGAGGAUUCUCCAGGAUGGUCUCCAGGGUCCAAGAAAACAAGACAAGGGCCAGAGAACUAAGGCUGGAGCGUUUGGGAUCCAUCCCAGGUACGGGAUGAUUAGGAGACGGGAAUGAUUAGGAGGUGUGGCCUUGUUGGAGGAACAGGUGCCCUGUCACAGCACAGAACCUACCAUGUGCCACGUCAGCAGUCAGCACUUGAGCGCAACCUUCUGAAGACGGCGCACAGCCAACAGAAUCUCCUCAAGGAACACCGGAGACCAACCACAGGCUGGCUUUCAAGCUGCUUUCAUCUCUGGCUUAUCUGUGUGCUGACCUGCUUCCCAAGGCUCCCUCCACUGGGUCCCAGCAAUUGGCAGCACUUGGCCCAGGGUUAUAGGAGAGAACAAAGCCAGCCAAAGUGCUGCCCUGGGAAGUGUACAACACAACAAGAAA